UCUGGAACUUUCCACAGACCCUUGCUACCUUGAUCCAGAAGCCAUGGUGACACAAGAGUUUCAAAAGAGAAAGGGAAACCCUCAGAAGUCCUGGACAACUUUGGAGAUGUUCUGGAAAACAGGCUCUGUUUUGCAGACUGUCUUCUCUGAAUGGUCUACAUAUCCCAUCGCUCCAUCUUCUCAUGUUUUGUAAAUGACUUCAAGUAUUUAUGCAGAGUGGCCCCUGAGCAUUGUGGGCCUGGCGACUGGCCUGGUGGAUGAUGUGUUAGGUGUUGUAAGAUUUGGCAGGAGAAGAGGAAUGUUCUACUCUGUUCUGUGAAACCCAGGAAAUGACUCUGCUUCCAGGAUGAGGCCGAGAAAGCAAUUCCUCUGGGUCUGAACACUGAGGAGGGGGAGUUCCACUUGCCACUCUCUGUCACUCAUCUUUGCAUGCCUGGGGCCAGAAGCCCAUGCCUGGGGCUAAUAACAUGUAUGCAUACACAUUAAUAAAUUAUGUUCUGUUUGCCAGCUA